rnacentral:rRNA from 1 species
GACGAACGCUGGCGGCGUGCUUAACACAUGCAAGUCGAACGGAAAGGCCCUGCUUUUGUGGGGUGCUCGAGUGGCGAACGGGUGAGUAACACGUGAGUAACCUGCCCUUGACUUUGGGAUAACUUCAGGAAACUGGGGCUAAUACCGGAUAGGAGCUCCUGCUGCAUGGUGGGGGUUGGAAAGUUUCGGCGGUUGGGGAUGGACUCGCGGCUUACCAGCUUGUUGGUGGGGUAGGGGCUUACCAAGGCUUUGACGGGUAGCCGGCCUGAGAGGGUGACCGGCCACAUUGGGACUGAGAUACGGCCCAGACUCCUACGGGAGGCAGCAGUGGGGAAUAUUGCGCAAUGGGCGGAAGCCUGAUGCAGCAACGCCGCGUGCGGGAUGACGGCCUUCGGGUUGUAAACCGCUUUCGCCUGUGACGAAGCGUGAGUGACGGUAAUGGGUAAAGAAGCACCGGCUAACUACGUG